CCUACGGGGCGCAGCAGUGGGGAAUAUUGCACAAUGGGGGAAACCCUGAUGCAGCAACGCCGCGUGAGUGAAGAAGUAUUUCGGUAUGUAAAGCUCUAUCAGCAGGGAAGAAGAAAGACGGUACCUGACUAAGAAGCACCGGCUAACUACGGGCCAGCAGCAGCGGUAAUACGUAGGGGGGAAGCGUGAUCCGGAUUUACUGGGUGUAAAGGAAGCGUAGACGGGUGUGCAAGUCGGAAGUGAAAGCCCGUGGGCCAACGGCGGAACUGCUUUGGAAACUGUAUAACUUGAGUACUGGAGAGGCAGGCGGAAUUCCUAGUGUAGCGGUGAAAUGCGUAGAUAUUAGGAGGAACACCAGUGGCGAAGGCGGCCUGCUGGACAGAAACUGACGUUGAGGCUCGAAAGCGUGGGGAGCAAACAGGAUUAGAUACCCGGGUAGUC
rnacentral:rRNA from 1 species